rnacentral:rRNA from 1 species
AUGAUUUUGCAUAAAUCAAAAGAAGGUAUGGGGUUUAGGGAUAUGCGAGCUUUUAACCAAGCAUUGUUGGCCAAACAAGCAUGGAGAUUGAUUGAUGGUCCUACAAGUUUAUGUGCCCGUUUGCUCAAAGCCAAGUACUACCCAAAUGGUGACAUCCUGGACACUGUGUUUCCUGCAAAUUCCUCAGAUGUUUGGAAGGGUAUCAUCUUUGGUUUGGUACUUGUGACAAAAGGAGUUAUACGGAGAGUGGGAGAUGGAAAAUCAAUUCGUGCAUGGAGGGACCCCUGGAUACCACGGGGUAAUGAUUUUAGGCCAGUAACACCAAAGAGAAAUUGCAGAUUGAAUAGGGUGCCAGAUUUUCUAAAUGACAAUGGUUCAUGGCACUUGCAGUGA